rnacentral:misc_RNA from 1 species
GAUGAAGAAGGUAGCGAAAUGCGAUAAGUAAUGUGAAUUGCAGAAUUCAGUGAAUCAUCGAAUCUUUGAACGCACAUUGCGCCCGCCAGUAUUCUGGCGGGCAUGCCUGUUCGAGCGUCAUUUCCACCAUCAGGCCCCCGGGCCUGUGUUGGGGACCUGCGGCUGCCCGCAGGCCCCGAAAUUCAGUGGCGGUCGCGCCGUAGCAACCGAGCGUAGUAACUAAAACGUCUCGCUCUGGCUCGCUGGGCGCGCUCCGGCCGUAAAACACCCCCCCUUUUCGCAAAGGUUGACCUCGGAUCAGGUAGGAAUACCCGCUGAACUUAAGCAUAUCAAUAAGCGGAGGA